rnacentral:rRNA from 1 species
CAUGCAAGUCGAACGAAGUAGCAAUACUUAGUGGCAGACGGGUGAGUAACAUGUGGGUAUCUGCCCUUUGGCCCGGAAUAACACGAGGAAACUUGUGCUAAUACCGGAUAAGUCUUUACGGAGAAAGCUUUAUGCACCAUUGGAUGAGCCCGCACUUGAUUAGUUUGUUGGUGGGGUAAUGGCCUACCAAGACUGUGAUCAAUAGCUGAUUUGAGAGGAUGAUCAGCCACAUUGGGACUGAGACACGGCCCAAACUCCUACGGGAGGCAGCAGUGGGGAAUCUUGCACAAUGGAGGAAACUCUGAUGCAGCGAUGCCGCGUGAGUGAAGAAGGCCCUUGGGUUGUAAAGCUCUUUCGUCGGGGAAGAAAAUGACUGUACCCGAAUAAGAAGGUCCGGCUAACUUCGUGCCAGCAGCCGCGGUAAUACGAAGGGACCUAGCGUAGUUCGGAAUUACUGGGCUUAAAGAGUUCGUAGGUGGUUGAAAAAGUUGGUGGUGAAAUCCCAGAGCUUAACUCUGGAACUGCCAUCAAAACUUUUCAGCUAGAGUAUGAUAGAGGAAAGCAGAAUUUCUAGUGUAGAGGUGAAAUUCGUAGAUAUUA